GACGAACGCUGGCGGCGUGCUUAACACAUGCAAGUCGAACGGAAAGGCCUCAGCUUGCUGGGGUACUCGAGUGGCGAACGGGUGAGUAACACGUGGGUGAUCUGCCUUGCACUCUGGGAUAAGCUUGGGAAACUGGGUCUAAUACCGGAUAUGAACUGCCUUUAGUGUGGUGGUUGGAAAGUUUUUUCGGUGCAAGAUGAGCUCGCGGCCUAUCAGCUUGUUGGUGGGGUAAUGGCCUACCAAGGCGUCGACGGGUAGCCGGCCUGAGAGGGUGUACGGCCACAUUGGGACUGAGAUACGGCCCAGACACCUACGGGAGGCAGCAGUGGGGAAUAUUGCACAAUGGGCGGAAGCCUGAUGCAGCGACGCCGCGUGGGGGAUGACGGCCUUCGGGUUGUAAACUCCUUUCGACAGGGACGAAGCUUUUUGUGACGGUACCUGUAUAAGAAGCACCGGCUAACUACGUG
rnacentral:rRNA from 1 species